rnacentral:ncRNA from 1 species
UGACCGGGCCGAAGUCGUAAAACUACGGAGCCAAUGGGAGCGACCCCGUAAAAAGCGUA